CUGGCGAGGAGCUAGGGAAGGGAGUUACGGCGGGGCGUGAAGGGAACUGCGGAUGAGAUAGAUGGGGGAAAACGUUUGUCGGGAGGCGACUCCAACAGAGCUUCAGGGUGCAGAACACAAGGAAGGCUACUGUCGCCCUCGGCCGCUUGCCAGUCUCCCUGGGCGCUGCGGCGGCGCGGGGCGCUGGGCCUGCGGCGCGGCGUCGUGACGUCACGGUGGCGGCAGCCGUGGUUGGCGCAAGGCCGGUCCCCCAGCACGUCCUCAGCCGCCGAGGAGCCAUCAGCUUCAGCUCCAGCUCCGCUCUCUUCGGCUGCCCCAAUCCCCGGCAGCUCUCUCAGAGGCGUGGAGCUAUUUCCUAUGACAGUUCUGAUCAGACUGCAUUAUACAUUCGUAUGCUAGGAGAUGUACGUGUAAGGAGCCGAGCAGGAUUUGAAUCAGAAAGAAGAGGUUCUCACCCAUAUAUUGAUUUUCGUAUUUUCCACUCUCAAUCUGAAAUUGAAGUGUCUGUCUCUGCAAGGAAUA
rnacentral:sRNA from 1 species